rnacentral:rRNA from 1 species
AAGACCUUGCGCUUUUGGAGCGGCCGAUGCCUGAUUAGCUUGUUGGUAAGGUAAAAGCUUACCAAGGCUUCGAUCAGUAGCUGGUCUGAGGGGACGACCAGCCACACUGGGACUGAGACACGGCCCAGACUCCUACGGGAGGCAGCAGUGGGGAAUUUUGGACAAUGGGGGCAACCCUGAUCCAGCCAUGCCGCGUGAGUGAAGAAGGCCUUCGGGUUGUAAAGCUCUUUCAGCCGGAACGAAACGGUUACGGUUAACACCCGUGACUACUGACGGUACCGGAAGAAGAAGCACCGGCUAACUACGUGCCAGCAGCCGCGGUAAUACGUAGGGUGCGAGCGUUAAUCGGAAUUACUGGGCGUAAAGCGUGCGCAGGUGGUUUUGUAAGUCAGAUGUGAAAGCCCCGGGCUCAACCUGGGAACU